UACGUAGGGGGCAAGCGUUGUCCGGAUUUAUUGGGCGUAAAGAGCGUGUAGGCGGCCAUACAGGUCAGCUGUGAAAACUCGAGGCUCAACCUCGAGACGUCGGUUGAAACCGUAUGGCUAGAGUCCAGAAGAGGAGAGUGGAAUUCCCGGUGUAGCGGUGAAAUGCGCAGAUAUCAGGAAGAACACCCGUGGCGAAGGCGGCUCUCUGGGACGGUACUGACGCUGAGACGCGAAAGCGUGGGGAGCGAACAGG
rnacentral:rRNA from 1 species